GAUAGAUCUAUUGUUAAUUUCAGCAUUUGGCAUAAAGAGACCAGCUAAGGUAUGGAAUACCAAAACCCUUCAAUCGGAUAGACAGAGCCCAAAUUCAGUUUAAAAAAACAGGGAAAAACCCCUUGCAAGCCUUUGAUCGGUAAAGGUGUGGUAAAAACUCUCCUUUGGUUUCUUUAGCAGAAUGAUUUUAACUCACUUUUAUUUAGCUCAGGAACAGGAUGGAAUGGGUAACAAAUUGGAUUGACUGUAAAAGGUCUUAAACUCUUAAUAAACGAGAAGCUAAUAGACGAUUUUUCAUAAGAGAAGUCAGAUUGACUUGAUUGUCUCAGCUCUAUUUAAGGGCUAGGUUUAUAAAUAUUAUUGUUCAGAGCAUAUAGGAUAUUGAUUGUUUCAGCUCUCUUUAAAUGCUAGAUUUAUAAAUAUUAUUGUUCAGAGGAUAUAAGAUAUUUGAAAUCUUUAUUACU